rnacentral:rRNA from 1 species
CUACGGGUGGCUGCAGUUACGAAAACUUUACAAUGCACGAAAGCGUGAUAAGGGGAUUCCUAGUGCUCAUACUUUGUAUGGGCUUUUGUUGAGUGUAAAAAGCUCGGCGAAUAAGUGAUGGGUAAGACCGGUGCCAGCCGCCGCGGUAACACCGGCGUCACGAGUGGCAAUCAUAAUUAUUGGGCCUAAAGCGUCCGUAGCGGUUUGAUAAAUUUCUUGUGAAAUUGUUUGGCUCAACCAAACAGCGUGCAAGAAAGACUGUCAGACUUGAAACUGGGAGGAGCUAGAGGUAUUCCGGGGGGAGCGGUAGAAUGCUAUAAUCCCUGGAGGACCACCUAUGGCGAAGGCUUCUAGCUAGAACGGAUUUGACGGUGAGGGACGAAAGCCAGGGGAGCGAUCCGGAUUAGAUACCCCCGUAGUC